rnacentral:rRNA from 1 species
GUCGAACGGAAAGGCCCUGCUUGCAGGUACUCGAGUGGCGAACGGGUGAGUAACACGUGGGUGAUCUGCCCUGCACUUCGGGAUAAGCUUGGGAAACUGGGUCUAAUACCGGAUAGGAGCCAUCUUUAGUGUGGUGGUUGGAAAGUUUUUUCGGUGUAGGAUGAGCUCGCGGCCUAUCAGCUUGUUGGUGGGGUAAUGGCCUACCAAGGCGGCGACGGGUAGCCGGCCUGAGAGGGUGUACGGCCACAUUGGGACUGAGAUACGGCCCAGACUCCUACGGGAGGCAGCAGUGGGGAAUAUUGCACAAUGGGCGCAAGCCUGAUGCAGCGACGCCGCGUGGGGGAUGAAGGCCUUCGGGUCGUAAACUCCUUUCGCUAGGGACGAAGCUUUGUGUGACGGUACCUAGAUAAGAAGCACCGGCUAACUACGUGCCAGCAGCCGCGGUAAUACGUAGGGUGCGAGCGUUGUCCGGAAUUACUGGGCGUAAAGAGCUCGUAGGUGGUUUGUCGCGUCGUCUGUGAAAUUCUGGGGCUUAACUCCGGGCGUGCAGGCGAUACGGGCAUAACUUGAGUGCUGUAGGGGUAACUGGAAUUCCUGGUGUAGCGGUGAAAUGCGCAGAUAUCAGGAGGACACCGAUGGCGAAGGCAGGUUACUGGGCAGUUACUGACGCUGAGGAGCGAAAGCAUG